rnacentral:rRNA from 1 species
GUAUAGCAAUAGCUAAUUGCAUCAAUGUUUAAAUAAUUGGUGUAAUAUCGACUAUGUCGAAUAAAAUUCUAGGUAGAAUUAUGAUAAUGACAUUGUCUACCUAUGUGUCUUGACCAAAUUACGUGCCAGCAGUCGCGGUAAUACGUAGAAGACUAGUGUUAUUCAUCUUUAAUAGGUUUAAAGGGUACCUAGACGGUAAAUCAAGCCUGCAAUAUGGGACUAAUGUACUAGAGUUACUUACGAGGGGGUAUUAAAGUACUGCUGGUGUAGAGAUGAAAUUCUGUCAUACCUCGUUUCGGAAGAAACACUAUGGCACGGGUAUAGGCGAAAGCAUCCCCUUAUGUGAUAACUGACGUUGAAGGACGAAGGCUUUGUGUAGCGAACAGGAUUAGAUACCCCAGUAGUCAAAGCAGAAAAUGAUGAAUGUCAUAGAUUAGAUGUUAGUUUAUUCUAUAAAUGAAAGUGUAAGCAUUCCACCUCAAGAGUAAUUUGGCAACAUUGGAACUGAAAUCAUUAGACCGUUUCUGAAACCAGUAGUGAAGUAUGUUGUUUAAUUUGAUGGUCCGCAAAAAACCUUACCACAAUUUGAAUAUUUAGAUUCAUUUACAAGCGUUGCACGGCUGUCUUCAGUUAAUGUCGUGAGAUCAUGGUUAGUUCCAUUAAUUAACGUAAACCCUUACUUUAUUUUUAUAUAGAGUUGUUCCCCACUAGAUUGGAUAAGAUAACAGGG